CAUCUGACCAGGGUCUGGGCAAGUCCACCAACCAAGCCUUCUGCUCCCAGUGGAGCAUUCUUCUGGAACUUUCCUUCUGGCCUUUUAUUGUCCAAACUACCUUUGUUAUUUCAGACAGCCUCACACAUUUGAACACCCGGAACAAGACUGCAAACACGGAGAUACCUGUGAUUGUUCACCCUGGGCAUUUGUGUUUGCAAAUGGCAGUUUCGAGAAUUUAUGCACUGCUUGUAGCUCCCCAGCACUCAGGUCUUGAAGGAACACUGAGCUUAUUGCCCUUGGGGCACAAGUGCACUGUUAGCACAGCAACGGGUAACCAUAUAAUCCUGCCUCGGGAGUAAACACACGGUUUUAAGGGAUAUGCUCUGUUUGUAUGUCCUGAGAUUGAAAAGCCUGUCCAAUCUUUUAGAGUCUGAAUACUACCUAUGAUUUAUGAAGUGUGUAUGUGUAAUAAGGAAACGUGAGGUCUUACAGUAAGCCUCAUGUCCUCUUGUGAACAGUUGCAUGCUCGCUGAACCUUGGGUUGUCUCUCCUCAUUAAUCAUGAACUCUGGGUUUGGCUAUUUCGGACUAACAAUGCCUCCAUUGUCCUCACAUUGUAAGGACUGGCCUGAUCCAGGAGUCUAGAAGUGAAAAGUACGAACUGAGCAGGAGGUAAGCUGUGUGCAUGCAGAGCAAAGGUUAAGGCGUGUGUUGUAUCUAGAGGCCAAAACUGGGUCUGAUACUGUGGAGAGAAGUCACGAGUUAAGGAGCAGACAAAAAGUUCUGAUCCAAGUGGCCAGGGUCCAGCACCAGGGAGAGUCAGACAUCUAGCAGCACGUGGACAUGAGCCUGGAAGUCAUUUUUCUCCAUGGUUAUCUGCUCAGAGAAGAGGUCAGAUUCUAGGUGGGGUCUGCUGACUCAAUCAGAAAAUAGGUCUGAGAGAAUGCUGUACUUCCUCUUAAUUAACGAGAAAAAUGCUGCAUGGUGACCUCAUAAUUCAUAAUUCUCCUGCCCCAAACACCAGCUAGUUUAUUCCCCUACACUCCUACUGGGGGAGGCAGUGGUAGGGCACAGGAAGAGGGUAAUUAUGACAGUAGAUUCUCCUGCUUCAGCUUUGGGUCUUAACGUGAAAUUGGAAAAAGUCUACACUGUUGGACCAUAAGGAAUAAGCCACACCCCUGAAGAGCCAGGUCUGACUCCAACUCCCGUGUGCAGAGCCCUGGACUGAACAAAAUGGAAAGAGCGAGCUGAGCACCAGCAAGCAUCCAUUCACUGUCUGUUCCUGAUCAUGGGUGCCAUAUGAUCACUGCCUCCAGUCCUGCCUCUCUGUGAGUUCCCUGCUGUGGUGGACUGGAGCUGGAACCACGAGCUGAAAUAAGCCACCACACAUCAGCACACACUCCUGUAAUCUCAGGAUUCCGAUGCUGAGAUGGGAGGUGGGGACAAGAGAAUUCUCAAAGCCCAUGUUCCAACUAGACUGAUAAAAGCAAGAAUGAAAAAGAAGCCCUCCUGCAAGGAGGAAGCCUCCCAAGAGGUGGGAUCACGGGUGUGCACCACCACGUCUGGAUCAUGAUGCGUACCCAGAAGUGGUGUGUUUCCUCUCUGGAACACUGCAUCCUGGUACAUACUUCCCAAUGAGACUCACUGUCGGUUUGUCCCACUCCUGGGGAUGUUACAAUCUUCUGAUGCUUCGUCGCUGACAAGCAGAGGAAGAACCACAGGAACAGAGUGUCAAGAUUCAAUUAGGUGGAAGGAUUUCUGAGACACAUGUCAUACGUUUUUUUCUGAAGACAUUUCUGAGGGGGUGGAGCGGGAGUGUCACUGUUUCUAACUGCCCUUUUAUGUACACCUUACACAUUUCAACUACUCUAGGCAAAGUGAGCCUGGGUAGCACUGUGGUGAAUGGGUCCAGUAAAGAGGGUUUACCGUGGUUCCUAGCUAGGUCCAAAUGGGUCAGUUUGGAGAAACAGACCAAGGACCAAAGGGCUCCCCAUCACUGAGUCUGCAGGUGUUACAGAGCGCAGAGAGGAGGGAGGGUGCGUUCCACCUUGGGACUUCCCAAAGAUUGGAGCUUCCUGGAAACCGUUCCGCGGUUUGCAUCCUGCAGUCUGGACAAACUGUUGCUUUCGGUGCUCCUCUACACAAACGUGCUGGCUUACAUGAGUGGGAAAAGAAGACAAGGAUAGCUUUGAACUUCUGCUACAGUCUGCUCGUUUCAGUGGCAGAUAGGUGAAGAAUGACUGGUCCACCGACCGAGUCAGCAGAAGGGGAAGUCAAAAUCAGAGUCAAAGCCCAAGGAGAGAGGUGUUGUCACCCAGAAAUUCUUUCUCAAAGAGACUUCCCUACUCUUUUUAAUGUCUUGUUAAUGUCGUACCGGGACUUGUCACGUGGGAGUCAGACAGGUCUCUCCGUGGAAGGCACUAAUUAUAAUUCUAUGAAAAAAAAUAGUUCUGAAUUUAAAUGCUGCUCUUUAAUCAUCCAAACUAUUCCAAAGGCUAAUCAAGAAGAUUGAAUGAUGAAUGGUGUUCUGUAAUGAAUGAAUUUCUCAUGAAAUGUUAGUGAAACAUACUGCGUAUUUGCCUUUGUAUUGAGCUGUUCAUUUCCUCUGAAUUUCUGCAGAAGACUGACAGAUGGUACUGGAGCAAAGGGAUGAUUUUCACCAACUACCAAGUCUCUUUGGUGUGAAAUGUAGGGGUGUGUGUGUGUGUGUGUGUGUGUGUGUGUGUGUGUGUGUGCAUAUAGGUGUGUAUGUCCAUGCACACAUUGUGGAGACCAGAGACCAGUGAGUAUCUUCCUCUAUCAUUAUCUGAGACAGGGUCCCUCAUGGACAGGAGCUCACUGAUUGACUAGACCAACUGGCUAAAAAGCCCUAAGGAUCCUCCUGUCUCUGCCUCCUGAUGCUGGGAUUACAGGCACAUACCACCACAGCCAGCUUUUAUAUGGGUGCUUGGGUUCUGAACUCAGGUCCUCAAGCUUAUAAAGCAACCAUGAAACGCUCUCCCCAGCCCCUCUGAGUGCCUAGUUUUGAUCAUUUAUUCACAUACAGUAGUGAUGUAUUCUGCACAUAGCAUUUUCAGGGAGAUAAAUUGUGUUGAUUGAGAGUGACAGCACGGCUGAGGACCCCCGGCAAUGAUGUUGAGGGCGUAACAGGAUUUGUAGGAGAUAUUUAUGGCUGACCGGGAGCCAGUUAGGAUGCUUUUGUGUGCAAAUGGAGCUGACGGAAUUGAAGAACCUGUUUACUUUUCCAUCCACUCACCCUUAGAAUCCUCUGAGCUGUCAUGUUCUCAUUUGGCCACCAGAUGGCCUUUAAUUCUUUAACUCUCGCGCAGGGGAUAGACAGGUCCAGUGAGGCUGUGGACGGUCUGUCACGGGUACCUCAGGUGGUGCAUCAAAAAUCAAUCCUACCGUAAGUAUUCUUCGCUCUGCCAGGAAUGACCCAUUUCAGAGCCCAUCUGGUCCUCCUCGCUCUGCCGUCACGCCUGCCAGAUGGACAGACUGUCCUCUGGGAAUUUAAACAACCAUUUGCACAAAACCUAAUGAACACUGCAUUAUAAACUCGAUUGCUCCGGGUUCAUUUCUGCCUUUGAUAAGCUCCCUAAGUAGACUAUAAAAUUGCAACAAGUGCUUCUCUAUUACUUGAUGUUAUGGUUGUAAUAGAAGGUUAUGUCUCAUGUUAGGACUACCGUGGUCUGUACAGCUUAAUUUUAGAAAAUAAUGUUUCAACGUGCUUCAUGUUUUGCUGUGACUAUAAGGAGCACUGAUAGGAACAUGGGAGUUUUAUAUUUCAAAGUAAAAUUAGAGGGCCAAAGUAUGAUUUCAUAAGUCGUGUUAAACAUUCUCGUCGCAAAAAAUGCUUUUUGGUUGCCAGUUUUGCCCAGAGCCGCUAAACCCUGACUAAAUAAUAAGUCGUUGGGGGCUGGCUGGCUGGCUGGCUCAGCUGGUAAAGGCUCAGCUCACCAAGCCUGAUGAUCUGAGUUCAGUCCCCAGGACCCACAUGUUGGGAGGGGAGAACUGACUCCUGCAAGUUGUUCUCUUACCACGCCCGGGCCACGGCACGUGCACACUCACUAAAAUGUCAUAAAGAAAUGGCUGGUGUGGGUAUCUACCUGCCUUGGAAAGUGCUUCCUUCCCUCUCCAUCACUUCUUUUCAUUUGAAACUGAUUUUUUUUUUUUUGGCUACCGUCCAGAGUAGUGAGCAUCAUUAUAUGUGCAGCCUUAUGUUUUGCUGAUAUUCAUCCCCAUCGAUCGCUUUUAUUUCCUCUCUUCUGCUUAUCUCUUCCUGUAAAACGAUUCAGUGUGUGAACUUGUUCCUCCUGAAAGGGCAGAUCGCAUUUUCAGAUUGGAUUUUAAUGUAUUUCUGCAGAAACACAAACCCACAAAGAGGUGAAGCCUUGUGGGAGAUCUUGGUUAUUGAGGAGGGAAGGACACAGCUUCAAAGGGUACUGUGAACCCGCAGCCUCUUUCUCUCCCUCUUGUUCCCAUCCUGGCUCUGAGGUGAGUAGCUUUCUCUACCACAUUCUUCCUGCCAUGAUGUACUGUAUCUCUACUGGUCCAAAAGCAACAUGGCCAAUCACGAAUGGAAACCUCCAGAACUGUGAGCCGAAUUGCCCCUCUGUCUUUUAGUUGGUUAUCUAGGUAUUUACUGCCCUGAUGGAAAGCCAAAAAGGCUACUUAUCCAUGAAAAUCUGAGCACACGCUUUUAGCAGUUUUUACGUUGCCAAGUUGUGUUUUUCAUCCUUAUUUCCUUAACUUCAAAUUUUUUAUUUAAAAAUUUAGGUUGUAUUAUUCUCCCAAAGACACUAUUUUAAAAGUAAAUAAUUAUUUUCACAUAGGUAGCAAAUUCAAAAGAAUAAAAACGUAGUUCAUAUCCCACGUUAGAAUCCCAGUUUCCUUUCUUUAAGGCAACCACAGGGUAACCAGUCACAUCCCGAACGGAUUUGAGGUUCACUCCAGGGCAAGAAUUCACAUCUGAUACUAUAAACCUUGUCAAUGGCGGGUGGCCAGGGAGGUCAACCAGCCCUAGUAGGAAACUGUUGGGGUUCUUUUGCUACAGGGACAUGAUGUGCCCGUCGACUUGCCCUCUAAGUGUUGAUAUUUAUGUUUAUAGGUUAGUGCUGCACCAGGCUUUGUGACAGGAGCUUCUUUCUGCAGCGGGUAGAGGUGUGUGCAGAGACUAAAAUCUGGUCGAAGUGCCGAGGUUAAAUAAUGGUAGAAUGAUCCGCCAUAAACA